ACGAACGCUGGCGGUGUGCUUCACACAUGCAAGUCGAACGAGGUAGCAAUAUCUAGUGGCGGACGGGUGAGUAACGCGUGGGAAUCUGCCUUGAGAUGGGGGAUAGCAAGCCGAAAGGCUUAUUAAUACCGCAUAUGCGAGCACCAGAGAUGGUGCUUGUGAAAGGAGUAAUCCGUCUUAAGAUGAGCCCGCGUCCGAUUAGCUAGUUGGUAGGGUAAAAGCCUACCAAGGCGACGAUCGGUAGGUGGUCUGAGAGGAUGAUCACCCACAAUGGGACUGAGACACGGCCCAUACUCCUACGGGAGGCAGCAGUGGGGAAUUUUACGCAAUGGGCGAAAGCCUGACGUAGCGACACCGCGUGAGCGACGAAGCCCUUUGGGGUGUAAAGCUCUGUCGGCAGGAACGAACACAAUGACGGUACCUGCAGAGGAAGCAUCGGCUAACUACGU
rnacentral:rRNA from 1 species